CUAAAUUUUAUUUUCGCGUACUGGACGCCUGUCUACGUCACGUGGUGGGUCCCGCCCAGCCAUCUGCUCACUCUAUCAUUGUUCUGGGAUUUGGAGAAGAACAGGACAAGGAGAAAGUUUUCGCAGCUUUACUGGACAAAGGUGCGCCAUCCGAAUUUCAUGAACAAACGGAUUUAGACGGCCUCAAUGCCUGUCAGUUCCUGAAAUUACAGAAGCAACUUGCAGGUAGCGAGCUGUGUCAGGUGAUAUCAGGAAGUGUUAGCGGUGUUGUCCCAGGCGCCUUUGUUGUCCUCGUCAAGCUGGAGACACUUCAAGGACACACAUUUCAUCUGUUGCUGUGCGAAGGUCUGUUCAACGGUGGAAGUUGGAGACUUCUGUUUCAAUUUCCAAGAUCUCUUCGAAUCUCUCGAAAAACAGAUAUCUGGGACAGCUGGGUGGAAAUAGACCCAGAGACUGCUAGCUAUCAAGGCUCUCAAGAUGCUGAGCUGAUAUUAGAUGGCUUGUCGUUUACAGCUUUUGUCAGUAAGAGCCUUUUUCUAUGGGGAAAUAAUUUACUUUACAG